rnacentral:rRNA from 1 species
GUCUAAGGCCAUACCACCCUGAAUGCGCCCGAUUUCGUCUGAUCUCGGAAGCUAAGCAGGGUUGGGCCUGGUUAGUACUUGGAUGGGAGAAACUGAAAGAUGGGGGGACCUGGGUGGCUCAGUUG